rnacentral:lncRNA from 1 species
AAAAAAAAAACGAUCCUCUAUAAGCAACCCAAAGUACCUCAUGCCAUUAACCAGUUCUCUGAGGCCCUGGGCUGCCGAACAGCUACCCAGCUUCUUAAGGCUACCCACACGUGUAGGGCAGAGAUGAAGCAGAAGAAGCAGCGAAGGCUGCCAGCGGCCAGUGCUGCGAAGAAAGCUGUUGGCAGAGGAGACCACCUGCUCUUCUAGCAGGAGCCAAAAAGGUAGAGAAUAAGAAAGCUCCACUCUUGGUGAUUGCACACAAUGUAGAUGCUACUGAGCUGUUGGUUGUCCUGCCUGCCCUGUGUCACAAGGUGGGGAUUCCGUGCAGCAGCAUCAAAGAGAAGGCCAAGCUGGGGUGGCUGGCCCACAGCAAGGCACGCACCACUGUGGCCUGCACCCAGAUUAACUCGUGAGACAAAAGAUAAGCUGGUAGAAGCUAUCAGGACCAAUGACAAAGCCAGGUACAAGGAGAUCUGCCACCACUGG